GUGGCAUUGCCUGUCGACGACUUGGAGGUCCUCCUGAACGUUUCUCGUACGGUUGGUUCUCAAGUUCCUCUAUAUGCAAUGUUGAUGCUGAUAUCCAGUCUGGCGUGAUUGCGACAGAAAGAGUUUGUCAUGAUCUUCGAUGUUCCGAUGUUGUAUUAUAUGAAAGCAAAUAAUGUUCAAACACUGUCCGUUUAUUUAUAGUAAAAGAGCAACAGACUUACUGUUUGGCAAUCUGCAUGGAGUACAUAUUCGAUUCUUGAUAGUACUGUUAAGGCCAAACUUUCAAGUAUUCUUUAAUAAAUUUCAAGAACACCUUUCCCUACAUCCUGUCAGAAUAGUAAGCACAAACAAUAAUACAAUAAUUAAUUACAGGCUUCGGUUCGAUAAAGACGUUGUCAUGGCAACAUUGUGACUGAAAAGCAUCAAGGAUCGAGAUGUAAACAUGACGUGAACUUACCGGUUUAAUUGGAUUUUGCUUAUAUCUAAUAAAGAUUGUGGAGGCCCUAUAAAUCUAUGCUUAAAGAGAAGCAAAAUGGUUUCUGCUCUCCCUUCAAGGAGUUCUCUUCAAGAUGGUUCAAAUAUUUUGAUAUGUUAUGACAAAGGUUCUAUGACUUCCGUGAAACUGAUUGUAGUUUUAAAAAAUAUUAUACUCGUGUAGAAAAAUAAUAAAGAUUCUA